rnacentral:rRNA from 1 species
CCUACGGGUGGCAGCAGUGGGGAAUAUUGCACAAUGGGGGAAACCCUGAUGCAGCAACGCCGCGUGAGUGAGGAAGUAUUUCGGUAUGUAAAGCUCUAUCAGCAGGGAAGAGAAAAGAAGGGACCUGAAAAAGAAGCCCCGGCUAACUACGUGCCAGCAGCCGCGGUAAGACGUAGGGGGCAAGCGUGAUCCGGAUGUACUGGGUGUAAAGGGAGCGGAGACGGCAAGGCAAGUCAGAAGUGAAAACCCAAGGCUCAACCAUGGGACUGCUUUUGAAACUGUCAAACUAGAGUACGGGAGCGGUAAGAUGACUUCCUCGUGUAGCGGUGACAUGCGUCGAUUUUAGGCG